UGUCCCAUGGCUUAGUUGGUCACGGCGUCCGAAUGUUAUUUAUACACCCCAUACCAAUCUAACAUCGGAAGAUCGAGAAUUCGAGUCUCUCUGGGACAG